rnacentral:rRNA from 1 species
AUGUCUAAGUAUCUUCCUUACCCGAAACUUGUGCCAAAACUGGUAUUUCUUUCAUGUGUGCCUUGUGUCAUAUAUUAUCCAACCCCCUCUACUUCUAUACAGUUUUUUGUGGCAAAAGAUUACUGGCACCAUGUGAAUCUUAAGCUCCACCAUUUCCUAAUUUUUCUCUCCUGGUCGCCUCUAGGUUUCCUGGCAAGGCGAUGGUGUAUGAACCUUGUGUGCCUGCCUAGCUGUAUUGCGGCUCGAGGAUGCGGUGGAGGCACUAGUACAAAACAGGGCUUUGGUCCAGGCCGAGUCAGCCCAUUAGUCCCGGUUCAGUCCAGAACCAGGACCAAUGGGGGCAUUGGACCCUGUUCGUGA